rnacentral:piRNA from 1 species
UGAGUGCUUCUUCCGUCAUAUCCCGUGGU